GGGGAAUAUUGCACAAUGGGGGAAACCCUGAUGCAGCAACGCCGCGUGAGUGAUGACGGUCUUCGGAUUGUAAAGCUCUGUCUUCAGGGACGAUAAUGACGGUACCUGAGGAGGAAGCCACGGCUAACUACGUGCCAGCAGCCGCGGUAAUACGUAGGUGGCAAGCGUUGUCCGGAUUUACUGGGCGUAAAGGGAGCGUAGGUGGAUAUUUAAGUGGGAUGUGAAAUACUCGGGCUUAACCUGGGUGCUGCAUUUCAAACUGGAUGUCUAGAGUGCAGGAGAGGAAAGCAGAAUUCCUAGUGUAGCGGUGAAAUGUGUAGAGAUUAGGAAGAAUACCAGUGGCGAAGGCGGCUUUCUGGUCUGUAACUGACGCUGAGGCGCGAAAGCGUGGGGAGCAAAC
rnacentral:rRNA from 1 species